GUGACGUAUAUAGGUAGCUGUUUGUCUUCCCGCCACUAGAUGGAGGUCACGUACCGUCCAAAAUAUUGCAUGGCGGUGUCGCUGGUUGCUGCCUGCCAAAACUGAAGGCUGGCCAGAAAGAUGCUACGUGCUGUUCUCCUUCAUGUUUACCCUGCGUGUCUCCCAGUUGUCUACAGGAGGAGACACAAAGAUACCUGAAGAAAAACAAUGUCUAUCGCAAUGAAUAAAGAUGACGGAGAUAAACAGCCAUUGCCCCGUGUCAUCUGAAAUGGAUGGGUAGUCUGACUGUAUUGAGAAGUAAAUAAGCAGGUGCUUCAGGAGAAACACACCUUGCGAACAUGAGCAGCCAAGCAUCAGAGCAGCUCUUCACAGACCCUCCUCCUCCUCCUCCCUGUUUUCUCAAGGUAAGAAGA